CCUACGGGCGGCAGCAGUGAGGAAUCUUGGUCAAUGGACGAGAGUCUGAACCAGCCAAGUAGCGUGAAGGAUGACUGCCCUAUGGGUUGUAAACUUCUUUUAUAUGGGAAUAAAAUGUUCCACGUUUGGGAUUUUGUAUGUACCAUAUGAAUAAGGAUCGGCUAACUCCGUGCCAGCAGCCGCGGUAAUACGGAGGAUCCGAGCGUUAUCCGGAUUUAUUGGGUUUAAAGGGAGCGUAGGUGGAUUGUUAAGUCAGUUGUGAAAGUUUGCGGCUCAACCGUAAAAUUGCAGUUGAAACUGGCAGUCUUGAGUACAGUAGAGGUGGGCGGAAUUCGUGGUGUAGCGGUGAAAUGCUUAGAUAGCACGAAGAACUCCGAUUGCGAAGGCAGUUCACUGGACUGCAACUGACACUGAGGCUCGAAAGUGUGGGUAUCAAACAGGAUUAGAUACCCGUGUAGUC
rnacentral:rRNA from 1 species